CAUUAAGAUAAUCGAUCCAAUGAAACGAGACCCGAGAGGUUUAAAGAGAAGCAAAAACGCCGCGCGUUGGCUGCGUCCUGCAGCCGCUCUGAGGGAAGUCUCACGCUAGUUGGGUCGCCGCCUGUCCGGAGUCCGGACUCUGAAAGAAAAUAUAGAAUUGCAGCUCCCGUAGUUGGGUUUCCGAUGAUUAUUGCGUCGGUUAGGGUAAUUGGACUGGCGGUCUCAGCUUUGGUUCUAACAUGGGCUUUCCACUGCAGAGGUGGUCUCUCUCUCUUCUCUCACAACAAGGAUCUCAUUUUCAAUGUCCAUCCUGUACUGUUGGUGAUCGGUCUCAUCCUCUUGAAUGGUGAAGCCAUGCUAGCAUAUAGGACACUCUCUGGGACUAAAAGCUUCAGAAAGUUGGUACAUCUAACAAUACAAUCUCUAGCCUUUGGUUUGAGUGCUAUAGGGGUGUGGGCUGCUUAUAAGUUCCACAAUGAGAAGGGCAUUGACAAUUUCUACAGUUUGCAUUCUUGGCUGGGUCUCGCUUGUUUAUUCCUUUUUGCCAUCCAGUGGGCUGCUGGCUUUUCAAUGUUUUGGUAUCCCGGUGGCUCGAUUAGCAGCAGAGCUUCUCUGCUUCCCUGGCAUGUGUUCUUUGGGAUUUAUACAUAUGCACUUGCAGUUGGCACUGCUUGUACAGGAAUUCUGGAGAAAGCCACAUUCUUACAAACCAACCAUGUAAUAUCGCGCUAUUCCACUGAGGCAGUGUUGUUGAACUUACUGGGUAUGUUAAUCGUUGUUCUUGGAGGCUGUGUAAUUCUUGCAGUUGUUACAUCCAUGAACGGCAAAGGGAAAGCCUAUAUACCACUAGAAUACACAAUGCAACAUCCAUCGGUGUAAUCAAUUGAUUGGGGGUGUUAUUUUUGCGUAGUGUAUCUUCUUUGGUUCAAGGCAGUAUCAUCUGUUGAAGUUGUGAGAAAAUGACCUUGCAAUCGCAGUUAUCAGUUGGAGCCGGAAUUUUCAUUGGUUGGUUGCUUGGAUGCAAAAAAUAAUGCCCAUAAUGAGCUGAAAAAUUACAUCAAACAGGUUAUAUUGUAAGAAAAUUAGAGGAUACAUUUCACUUGCUUUAUUUAUUUAUUUUUAUUUUUAAUUUUAAGAAUUCCGUUCUAGAAAAAUGGCUUAUGAUUUGAAGGAGCUUGGUUGGACACG
rnacentral:misc_RNA from 1 species